rnacentral:siRNA from 1 species
UUAAUUUAUUGUGUGGUCGAAUGA